GUAACCUUACCGUUGGGUUUGACAGUGUACGUGGUACGGAUCUAGAAAGGUGAAGGACUUACUCUUUCGGAGUGAGAGCGUACACAGGUGCUGCAUGGUUGUCGUCAGCUCGUGUCGUGAGAUGUUGGGUUAAGUCCCGCAACGAGCGCAACCCCUGCAUUCAGUUGCCAUCGGUAAGGCCGGGCACUCUGGAUGGACUGCCGGCGACAAGCCGGAGGAAGGUGGGGACGACGUCAAGUCAUCAUGGCCCUUAUGUCCAGGGCGACACACGUGCUACAAUGGCCGGCACAACGGGAAGCGAAGGGGCGACCCUGAGCGGAUCCCACAAAAGCCGGUCUCAGUUCGGAUUGCAGUCUGCAACUCGACUGCAUGAAGUUGGAAUCGCUAGUAAUCGUGGAUCAGCCAAGCCGCGGUGAAUACGUUCCCGGGCCUU
rnacentral:rRNA from 1 species